rnacentral:lncRNA from 10 species
GAAUUACCCAGAAAAUCAGCAAGAUCCGGAUCUUGUCAUAUACUUCUGCACCUAGCAUAAUGAACCUUAUGGAAGAUAUCUUGGAGGCUGUGAGUGGAAGUACUGUACUAAAAGGAACGAAAAAACUGACUAAACUGGCAGCUACAAGGUUGAAGAAACAGGAGGCCCAAUACAAGAAAGAAGUGAACAGAAUCCUCAGGGAUGAUGGUGAUAACGACUUGUUCUAGAACUAAAAUCCCCAAAGAUAAAACUAUUGGUACACUUGAUGCUUCAGUGUAUUAAGAGGAGAUUUAGACAAACAGGGGAGAGUUUCAGGAUCAAGUUCUAUGUACUAAAUACAUAGAAAACAAAACAAAACAAAAAAACAGAAAACAAGCAUUAACACGGAGUACAGUAAUCUCCUCUUAUCUGAGGUUUCAGUUACCCACAGUCAACUGCAGUCCAAAAAUACUAUAUUGAAUGGAAAAUUCCAGAAAUAGACAAUUUAUGCCUUAAAUUGCACGGUGUUGUGAGUGGCAUGAUGAAACCUAGUGCCAUCCUGUUCAGUCCCACCAAAAUGUGAAUGAUCCUUUUGUCCACUGUUUCCACACUGAUAUGCCACCUAUUCAUUUGUCACUUAGUAGCUGUCUCAGUUAUCAGAACGAUUGUCCCUGUAUUGCAGUUCUUGUGUUCAAAUAACCUUUGUUUUACUUAAUUCUCCAAUUUUAUUGUUAGCUAUUUAUUGCUGUUAAUCUCUUACUGUGCUUAAUUUACAAAUUAAAAUUUAUCAUUGGUAUGUAUGUAUAAGACAAAACAUUGUAUAUACUGUAUAGGGUUUGGUACUAUCAGUGAUUUCAUGCAUCCACUGGUAUUUUGCAAUGUAUCCACUGUGGAUAAGGGGGGACUAUUGUACAAUAAAGAAAUUAUUGAAUAACACAAUACUAUUUUCAGCUACAAAUAGUAUUUAUGCAUUCAUAAUUCUGUAAAUACAGAAUACUGAUCUAACCAAAGUUAUAACUACAUUGGGAGAGUAGACCAUAGGAAGUAUGGGGGGAACGUGGUAGUGAGGGUAUAAAAGAUUGAGGACAGCAACAUCUUUAUUUUCAUGGUGAGAGGUCAAUAUAUAAGGUCUAAAACUAAAAACAUCAGGAAAUAGCAGUAUAAGCAUGUCAUGCAGAUAAACAAAUGACAAAAGGAAUAUAGUUUCUU